rnacentral:rRNA from 1 species
UACGUAGGGUGCAAGCGUUAAUCGGAAUUACUGGGCGUAAAGCGUGCGCAGGCGGUGAUGUAAGACAGUUGUGAAAUCCCCGGGCUCAACCUGGGAACUGCAUCUGUGACUGCAUCGCUGGAGUACGGCAGAGGGGGAUGGAAUUCCGCGUGUAGCAGUGAAAUGCGUAGAUAUGCGGAGGAACACCGAUGGCGAAGGCAAUCCCCUGGGCCUGUACUGACGCUCAUGCACGAAAGCUAGGGGAGCGAAUGGG